rnacentral:rRNA from 1 species
CACCCCGCUGACGAGCGGCGGACGGGUGAGUAAUGCUUAGGAAUCUGCCCAGUAGUGGGGGAUAGCCCGGGGAAACCCGGAUUAAUACCGCAUACGUCCUACGGGAGAAAGCAGGGGAUCUUCGGACCUUGCGCUACUGGAUGAGCCUAAGUCGGAUUAGCUAGUUGGUGGGGUAAAGGCCUACCAAGGCGACGAUCCGUAGCUGGUCUGAGAGGAUGAUCAGCCACAUCGGGACUGAGACACGGCCCGAACUCCUACGGGAGGCAGCAGUGGGGAAUAUUGGACAAUGGGGGCAACCCUGAUCCAGCCAUGCCGCGUGUGUGAAGAAGGCUUUCGGGUUGUAAAGCACUUUCAGCGAGGAGGAAGGCUCUGAAGUUAAUACCUUCAGGGAUUGACGUUACUCGCAGAAGAAGCACCGGCUAACUCCGUGC